GCCAUUUGGGCCUAUUAAAAAAUCAGAUUCAAUUCUCACUUUUUUUUUCCUUUGGGCCAUUGAGUCCAAGUUCAAAUAAUUUUUUUUUCAACUAUUCUUAAUUAUUAUUUUUUUCUUUUCUUAAUAUAAUUUAAGCAUUCAUAAAAAUAAUUGAUUUUUUUAUUGAAAAGUAUAAAUCUUUAUUAAAAGUAUAUAAUUUUUUAAUUAAAAUAUUAACCCCAUUAUAAAAUUAAUUUAUCAGAGUUAUACCAACUUAAUUCAUUAAAGAAAUAAAAUUUAAUUUUUUUAACAUAAAUAGUCAUUUAAAAUGAAAUACGAUAAAUAAAGAUAAAAUUUUUAAGUCUUUUAUAAAAUAAAACACAAAUAUAUGGAAAUGUGACAUUUACUAAAUAUUUGUCAAUUGAAAAAAAAAACAAAAAUAAACUCGCGCUUUCAAAGCGCGGGUCAAAAUCUAGUAAUCUCUUAAACGUAGAGCAUGAGCAGUGGUAACUUUUUGUAAAAGGACUCCUCAUUCCAAAUAUUAACAAAAAAAAUAAAAAACAGGAAAGAGAAACAAGAAAAAGAAAGAAGUGUAUGCCUUUUUUUUUAAGCUGAUUUAUUAUGACAUUACAUUUAUGAGAAAGAUUACAUAAAUAAUCGACAACCGGUAAUAAUAUCUGCCUUAUGAAGAUCUACGCCUAACUGCAUCAUCUGAGCCGUCCUAUGAAAAUCUAUUUCUGACCAGAUUUACUUGUAUCAUGUUGAAGCUUCCUUGUAAACUUUUUUUUUUUGUAGUCUACAUUAAUAAAUCGCUCUUCUCCAGAACUUGAAACAUAGAUUUCAUGUAAUCUGCUAGAAAUUACAUGUUUGAGAUUCGAACCUC
rnacentral:lncRNA from 1 species